GAUGAAGAACGUAGCGAAAUGCGAUAAGUAAUGUGAAUUGCAGAAUUCAGUGAAUCAUCGAAUCUUUGAACGCAUCUUGCGCUCCUUGGUAUUCUGAGGAGCAUGCCUGUUUGAGUGUCAUUAAAUUCUCAACUACACUGACUUUGAAUUGGUGUGGCUUGGAUUUGGGGGGAAAAUUGUUGUGGGCUUUUUGUAUAGUCUGCUCCCCUGAAAUUGAUUAGCGGUACCUUUGUGGAACUGUCAACAGGUGUGAUAAUUAUCUACAUCUUAGACAUCUGCUGGAAUGCUGCUCUCUAAACCUUACUUGUAUUGACAAUCUUGACCUCAAAUCAGGUAGGACUACCCGCUGAACUUAAGCAUAUCAAUAAGCGGAGGA
rnacentral:misc_RNA from 1 species